UUCUAAAAAAUUUCAUUUAUAGUUUUGAUAAAGGCACUUGCUCACCUUAAGUUGGCUAUAAAUAGAUGAUUUUAAUAAAAGAAGAUGAAGAUGCCGCCACAGAAUUUCACUAUAUUUACGGGAAAAAAAUUAGUCUUUUCGCAUGCUUCUCGUGUAAUUUCUGCGUUUAAUACAUGAAAUGAGCUCAAUCCGGAUCUCGGAUCUCUGUACAAGGCUGGCCUUAUCUGUGACUUCACCAACACUAUUACUAGUGACCGGCCUUUUGAUAUCUAACCCCUUUCAAGAAAUUCUCAAAACAGAAUUACGCAGCCAACUGAAAGCAUGCGCAUGCCAUUUGGUACUGUUCUGCCUUGAUCAGAACAUUUGCCUAUCUAUUUAUUUCAACUUCGUAUAGAGGCAAGAAUUUUCUUCAUGUACUAUGUCUUCGGAUAUGAAGAAUAA